rnacentral:lncRNA from 1 species
AUGGUUGUGGCAUACUGGUCUUUGCUGAGAGGCAAAUGGAUCUUCAUGAGCCUCUCACUGAUGCCCACAGGCAAGUCAGGCAGCUGUUUGAGCAAGCUGGUCUUGAUAGCCAGGCUAACACCGUGGAUUCUGUCUUCACUUGUGGCUUUACCUUUCCAGAAGAAGGUGUAUCCAGUGGUGGGUUCGCUGAGUGAUCUCUCUUCUGAUUAUACAUUCCCCUGUCUUCUUCAAUCAGUCCUCAAGUGUGAUGAUUUCAAGGGGCCAAUCACAGCUUCCAAAUUGCCUAGCACUGUCCAGGUGGGCAGUAUCUGUGGGAUCCACAUCUCAUCCUCUGAAGGUGUAAACUCUUAUCAAAGGAUUCCCAAGUUUCUGAUUAAUUGGGUUAAAAGGGUGGAGCUGUCAAAGCUAUAGAUGAAAGGGUUUAACAUGGGGGUCACCACGGUAUACAUGGUUGAGGCAACUGUGCUCUUCCAAGAAGAGUGAGUAGCUGAAGAGCUGAAAUACACUCCCAGCCCUGUGCCAUACAAUAAGGAAACAACAGAAAGGUGAGAUCCACAGGUAGAAAAGGCUUUAAACUUAUCCCUUAGCAGAUGGGACUUUCAAAAUGGACGAAGAGAUCUGACUGUAUGAGAAAAGGAUCCCAGUGAGGGGGAUAAUACCCAGCAAUAUAGCUAUACUGUAAAUCAAGAUGUAAUUGAUAAGGGUGUCAGAACAAGAGAGUUUCAGAACCUAUUCAAGAUCACAAAAGGAGUGCUGAAUUUCAUGGUCACAAAAGGAGACCAUCAGACAGUGAAGGAGAGAAUAGAGAAGGCUUAAUAUCCAGGAGAGCAGAACCAGCAGGACAAGAGCCUAUGGCUCAUGAUGAUUGCAUACCAUAGAGGGUGACAGAUAGCCACAAAAUGGUCAUAGGCCAUUACAGUGAGAAAGAAAUUAUCCAAACCAACAAAAACCAUAAAGAAAUACAUCUGGACAAAACAGUCAGCUCCAUGACCAACCUUGUAAAAUUUGCAUUCUUUUUCUCUCUAAAAUUUCUCAUACCAUGGGAUUUAUGGCAAAAUAUAAUCAACACAGUACUUCUCCUUGGGAUUUUGAUUUUUAUAGCUGUAAUAUUGUAUUUCUUUAAAAAACCCACUUCUCAGUAAAACCAACUGGGUGUUCCUUCUACUACUCAACAAUAUGCAGAACUAAAUACUCGGCUUGAGCUUAUAGAGGAAAGUAAGGGAGAGAUUGUAGCUUUUAUGAGAAGCAUUAAAAGAGAAUUAAGAACAUUAUCAGAAUUUCUGUCCCACCCUGCUCUGGACAAUAACCCACUUAAUGAACCCACCGCUCUCCCUGCCCCCUCGGCCUCAGAAAACCCACCCACUCCUACCUGGCUCGCCAUAAACUUAAGAUUUGUCCAAGUAAGGUAUUC